rnacentral:rRNA from 1 species
AUUGAUUGGUGCUUGCAUCAUGAUUUACAUUUGAGUGAGCUGGCGAACGUGGUGAGUAACACGUGGGAAACCUGCCCAGAAGCGGGGGAUAACACCUGGAAACAGAUGCUAAUACCGCAUAACAACUUGGACCGCAUGGUCCGAGUUUGAAAGAUGGCUUCGGCUAUCACUUUUGGAUGGUCCCGCGGCGUAUUAGCUAGAUGGUGNGGUAACGGCUCACCAUGGCAAUGAUACGUAGCCGACCUGANANGGUAAUCGGCCACNUUG